UGCCAGUAGCAUCUCCAAUCACAGGUGAAA
rnacentral:piRNA from 2 species